ACUUGGAUCCACAAAGGGAUGUAAGCAUUGCAACAUCUAACUUCUUGGCCUCUAGCCACCCAGCGGAAUCCACCAACUGUGAGUUGGGUGCUCUGGCUCACCAUCUCUUCAAUGCAUAGGGAAAGACAGGCACCUGAGAAUGAGAUCAACAAAAGCCAGCACACUAGGAAAGGAAGUGAGAAGCUCGGGUCAGAAGGAUGAGGCAAAGGAGAUGAGAAGACAGAAUUCUGGUGUAUGAGUACGUGUUGCAGGAUGGAGACAGAAGCCUGUUGACGGUGGAACAAGGUCAAGCACGCAGCACGAGCUCCGGGACAAGGGGUCUGGAUGACAAGCAGAGAGGCCAAGCAGUAAUGUCACCAUCACCAUCACCAUCACCUUCCAAGGAACAUAGUUCAAACUGUCAGUAAGCAUUAACAUUGAACACAGUCCUGCAGCUCUUAAAACUUGCAACAUUUCAAUUGCAUUUGGUUACUUUUCAUAUAAUUCUCUAGCUGUAUGUCAUAAAAGCAAUAAAGUAGAUCUCGAGGUUAAGUACAAUAACUACAGCAAAGAACUUAUCUUCCUAGUAACUGUAUGGUGUAGCCUUGACUCAUGUUGGUGAGCAAUGAAAUCAAUGACUUCUCAUUUACUCAGCAGCACCACAAAGGGUUGCAAAAUCCAGCCCUGUGUUUUUACAGCACCUAGAACAAUGGAGCCUUGAUUCUGAUUGGGGCCUCUUGA